rnacentral:rRNA from 1 species
GAUGAACGCUGGCGGCGUGCCUAAUACAUGCAAGUCGAGCGAACGGACGAGAAGCUUGCUUCUCUGAUGUUAGCGGCGGACGGGUGAGUAACACGUGGAUAACCUACCUAUAAGACUGGGAUAACUUCGGGAGACCGGAGCUAAUACCGGAUAAUAUUUUGAACCGCAUGGUUCAAAAGUGAAAGACGGUCUUGCUGUCACUUAUAGAUGGAUCCGCGCUGCAUUAGCUAGUUGGUAAGGUAACGGCUUACCAAGGCAACGAUGCAUAGCCGACCUGAGAGGGUGAUCGGCCACACUAGAACUGAGACACGGUCCAGACUCCUACGGGAGGCAGCAGUAGGGAAUCUUCCGCAAUGGGCGAAAGCCUGACGGAGCAACGCCGCGUGAGUGAUGAAGGUCUUCGGAUCGUAAAACUCUGUUAUUAGGGAAGAACAUAUGUGUAAGUAACUGUGCACAUCUUGACGGUACCUAAUCAGAAAGCCACGGCUAACUACGUG